rnacentral:rRNA from 1 species
GACGAACGCUGGCGGCGUGCUUAACACAUGCAAGUCGAACGAAGUGGCGAACGGGUGAGUAAUACGUGGGUAACCUGCCCUCCUUUUUGGGAUAAGCCUUGGAAACGGGGUCUAAUUCAUAAUAGAGGGGGAUGGGCUCUCGGCCUAUCAGCUUGUUGGGGUGGUGGUGGCCUACCAAGGCGUUGACGGGUGGCGGGCUUGGGAAGGUGACCGGCCACAUUGGGACUGAGAGACGGCCCAGACUACUACGGGAGGCAGCAGUGGGGGAUAUUGAACAAUGGGCGAAAGCCUGAUGCAGCGAAGCCGCGUGGGGGAUGAAGGCUUUCGGGUUGUAAACCUCUUUCGCUAUCGAAAGGGUAGGUGGAGAAGAAGCGCCGGCUAACUACGUGCCAGCAGCCGCGGUAAUAC